GUUUCAAGAUGUUCCCAGUUAUUCAGUAAGUUGGUGCUGAUAUCCGUGUCAUAUGGGUUUUUAAAAGUAGUCUGAUUCAUGUAUACCACUUGUCAACAAAGACUGUUUCAUCUAGAAUGCAACUUACAGGUUUGAUUCCAGUUUAAAAGGCGCUUCAACCACCUAUUAUUUGUUCCUGCAACCUAAGUUCUAAGUAGUAACAAUGUGACAGUCUUCACCCUUUUACUAAAGCAGGCAAUACUAUGUAACUGCAGGUUAAAGUGGCACUAUCACUUCUGUAAAGGAACACUAUAGGGUCAGAAACACAAACGUAUUCUUGACCCUACAGUGUUAAAAAAAAAACACUAACCCCUUUUUCACCCUUGCCUCCCUAAAUAUAGCAACAUCUUACCUUUAUUGUAGUCUGCUGGUGCUGCCUCUGCUUGGCUGACAUCAGAAGUGUGUCUAGGAAGCAAUGUAAACACUGCCUUUUCCCUGAAAAGGCAAUCUUUACAGCAAAAGGCCUGCAGGCACUGACUAUACUCGCUAGAGCAAUUACAUUAAGCUGUAGUUGUUCUGGUGGCUAUAGUGUCCUUUUAAUUCUGGCACCAUGCAAUAGCAAACUAAAAGAGGACUUUUCACUUUUUUUUUUUUUUUUUAUGUGCACUGUCAGACCAUAAAACUUUAGUGUUGCUCUGAACAUAGGCAUUCCUAGCAUGCAUGUGUGUGUUUACUACUGUGCAGAUCAGUAUUGAAGGCAUGCUCUUAUGGCAUAUACAUACAAAUGUCAGUGUGCUCCUCUGAAAAUCACUGGGCAGAGUUUCACCUAUGCAACAAUGGUAAUUGAAUUAUGUUACAUAGUUACGUAGCUGAAAAGAGACUUACGUCCAUCAAGUUCAGCCUUCCUCACAUUUGGUUUUUGCUGUUGAUACAAAAGAAGGCAAAAAAACCCAGUUUGAAGCUGUUCUAUGUAUCAUGUAGAAUAUUUUGUGCAUCCGUAUUUCUCUCUGGCAGAAUAUAUGCCACGGUUUAGUUUUGUUGGACUAUUGCAAAAAUACAUAGCCACCAGCUGCAAAUAUGAGCUUUUCCUCAUUUUACUCUUUCCUCAUGUCUUUAACAAACACUCAGCUCUGUUAAAGACAUCUCCACUGUCAGCAAAUUGCUAUGUUGGCUGUGUUUGAAAUGCAUAUGUCACAUGGUGACUUGUCUGAAGAUCAUAGGAUGCUGUGGCAUUGUGUUACCAAAAUUAAAAGCAAAUAUAUACAUAAACUCAGAAAGCAUUAAUGUGGACCUGUUCUCUAAUUUGAUCUUUUUGCCCAAUUGCUAUAUACAUUUGUUUACAAUUGUUUGUGUUUUGCAUUAUCCAUGUUCUUAUAAUAUGUACAUUUUGUUUGCAAAUUCACCAAGGAUGCUGCACUCACUGAGCAUGCUUAGACAUUUGCAGUUGGAACAUCAUUGCACUUUCUGGACACACAUAUGUAUGUAUUAUCUUUUUGGCAAAAAAAAAGUCUAAUUUCCAUUAAAAUUCCAUAGGUGUCUGUUAAUUCUACUUUAAACUGUAGUUUUUAUUCCUUUUUUUUUUUUUAGCUACUAUAUUCCUUACAGGAGAGAUGUUAUAGACACUUUAAAAAAACCUCUACUUUGUUACCCAGAACCAGUGGCAUCUCUAGGAUUAAUUUUUUUUUUUGGUACAUGGUGGGCCAGGGACAAAAGUAGGGGGGGCACAUUUGACCCUGCCCUUGCUGUAUGUUAAGCCCCGCCCCUGACACAAUGUUUUUUUUUUUUUGGUUUUUUUUUUUUAAAUAAUCCCUGGUGGAGGAUUCAUUAUUUUCCACCUGGAAUUAUUAAAAAAGCAUACACAUUUCCCUUAAUACAGUGCCAUAGUUGCCAACAUUUAAAAAAAAAAAUUUCCAAGGACAUUUUGCAGCACAGCUAUCAAUUACUACCUUGAAAGUUUACCACACCCACUGCCGCAAAACUCUGCCCACUAUGUCCAACCUACAUAAUUAAUCUCCGCCUACUUAUCACAGUACAGAUUAGUCUACAGAAUAAAGAGAGAUUUUCAGGGAAUUGAGAUGGUAAUUUUUAAAUUUAAGGCCGAAGUAGCAGAGUUAGAAACGUUCUCCCAUUCAGCUGCACUAUUUCAACCUAAUGUUGGAAAUUCCCAUCACAAUUCUCUCUUUAUUGAAUAGACCUUUAUAACGCCAAGUUCCCACCAACAGUACCAUGUAUCCAUGGUAUGCGAUAGACACAUUCACAGCACAUCAUCUAUAUCAGGCAGGUACAUUUUUAUCACUUUUAGAUGAAUUGGGUAUCGGUGCUGACACUGUCUGUACAAAUAUUAAAAAAAAAAAAAAAAAAAAGGCCUUGUGUAGAUGUGCUUCAGUCAGAGUUGUGUCUAUACCAUAUAACAUUAGUUCACUAAAAUAAUUAUAUUGGGGAGUGAAUAUAGUUUAAAAAAAUUUAGAAUAGGAAAUGAAAGAUAUUAAAGGAUAAUUUACAGAAUGGAAUUAAAGAGAGAAAUGGGAGCAAAAGGAAAACAUAUGCACAUAUUCCAUUAGCCCUUUUUCAUGCCACCAAUUAAACAUGUUAAAUGUCUCAGAUUGAGACUUCAGUCACCACUCCACUGCCUCUGAUUCCUCUAGUUCCUGGAAUCUGUGGGUAUUAUGUGUGUGUUUGUUUAUUGACUCAGCAGUUCAUACCCACACACAGACUGCCGAGUCCACACAGAUACACAAUAUGUCAAGCCUACCUGUCACUGGAGGCUGUUGCUGGGCCUUUCCAACAGCAGCAAGGUCUGGGGCUUAUGUGCGGGAGGCGGGGCUUGUGCCGGGAAGCCUGUCAGUGCUCCCUUUGGCCCUUGCAUCUCUCCGCAGACAGCAACCAGCGCUCCAGCUCCUCCAUCCUGCAUUCCCUCCCUCAGGCUGUAACAGACUGUUACAGUCAGAGGGAAUAGAAUUUAAGCACCUGGCCAGCAAGUUUCCUGCAUUUGGUGGGGAGGGGGGGGGGCACAGCAUGAUGUAGCGGGGGGGCUGCCAUGGCCCCCUCUGGCCCCCCCCUAGCGACGACACUGCCUGGCCUCCACUGGAGCUAUGGCUAAAGCAAGGGUUACACACUUCUGUCAGUAUUUCAAUUCAUACCAGCAAUGGAUAGCUGUGAGAAUCUGAAAGCAGUCCGCUGAUACUCUCAUCCAGUGGAAACAAAUAUAAUGUAGGUAUACACACAGAUAACUGGCAGGGGAAAACAAAUGUUAAAACUUACAAAUGAAAAUCUCAGGUAAAUAAUAUGUAUCAGUAGUUUACCUCAAGCAAUAGUGAUGUCGGACUGCAGCCAGGAUACAAAAACACCCAACAUUUCAGCCUUCACAGAAAUGAUGUUUGAGGAGUGUACAAGUGUAGGGAGGCAGUAGUCCCGCUCAAAUGUAGUUGCAGGUGCUAAUAAUUGUUGCCAUAAAAGUCUAGUAACCAUAUGCAAAGCAGAGUUCAAGGACACCAUGGUGACCAUUCGCCAGGUCGACAUGCGCAUGUAAAAAGAAGGGGGGGGAAAGCCAGCGGAACACUAGAAGAACCGGAUCAGUGAUUUGUUAAAGUAGUUAACGAUAACGAGGAUACUCUCAUUAAACUAGCCUAUCUGUAAAGCAAUUUAUACACUGAUUCUGCAGAGUGCUCUUAACUUGUAAGAAGUGUAAAAUCUUAUUUUUCUUUUUUACUUGUCCAAGUCUGAUUGGUAGGAAUGGGAUUGUAUUAAAUGUUGGCUAGAAAAUAGGUGUACACCCACUGCAGCACUUUACAAUUAUACGGAGGAAAUUUUAAAUAAGUAUUGACAUACACAGUAAAGAUUAAAUCUUCAGAAGGUGAGCUUACAAUGUAGGAGACACUUUUUGAUUGUCGUUUCCUAUACAGUCAUCAAUGCUCUCCAACAGUCCAGGUUAUGUCAGUAUCCCCUUUGGAACUGAAUUCGGGACUGUUGAGGUGCAUUAAUGACUGUGUUGCAAACCACUUUUCUGGUUGUUUAAAGUGAACCGACAAUGGAUAAGAUGACGGACUUAAAAUUGCUUCCAUAUACAAUGAAUACUCCAUAUGUCAUAACGAUAGAUGAAGUAUUCAAUGAAGAAUAUUAAGAUUUACUCACUUUUCCUUCUUUCCAGCAAUGCUUUGUGGGUGUUACACUUUGUGUAACACACACCCGCUUCUGUUCUUCUUUUAUUUGCACUGGUUGGGACACAUCCCCAAGCAGGGCAAAUCUUGUCAGUGAUGUUAGCACGCUGGGGGUGCCAACUAGGGGGUUUCCAUAGCAACUACAGCACAUGUGCUGUGGUUGCUAUGGGAGGAGGGCAGAGAUAUUGAGUGAAGGCUGGGAGAGAAAAAAAACAAAAACUCUUUGAAUAGGGUUUUCUCCCAAUCUAUAAACUUACCAGCAAAACUGAGCAUAAGAUUUUAUCUAUAUAUUGUGCUAGCAAUCUAAUGAACACGUUGUUUAGGGCACGUAGUUAAAAACCUCCUCUGGAUCAUUUUAGAUCAUUUGCCCACUUAAUAGAUAUAGAGUGAUGCUGGACUUGGUAACAGCUGUCAUGACUUUUCAUUUAACUUAAGCAGACAUAUGGUUGUGUUAAGAACCACUGUUAUUGGAGACUUAACUGCUCACAUUUAUAAAUCUUUUCCUUAAAUACUUCUCAUUAUGAACUUAAGAAUGUAUAAACCAAAUCAGGGGACUAUCUUAACCAGGGUGGGCAUCCAUUGGCCAUCCAGGUAUCAUGUACUAUAUUUUCUCUGAUGCUUUGCCAAUAUUAUAGCUGUAAGAGCAAUAUGGGUGAUGUGGUCCACAACAGUUGGAAUGCUACCCCUGUCCUAGACAAUUCUCACUUUAGAUCCUGCAUGUGUUUUAUAAUAUACAAUAUUUUUGCUCACUGACAUUCUUUUCUUCUAGUUCUCAGGUUUGCUGAAUAUCGGAUGGCCUGGCCAUGAGUGAGGCUUAGAGGUGAAGUAGCAGCACAUCAUGGUUUGUAGGAACAAGGAGAUACAGACCAUUCUGAGCUGCCUCUUCACCUCAGAGAUCAGACUAGAAGGGCAUAAAGAUUGAAAUUCCAACCCAGUCAAAAUAUCUCAUAAGACAAACCAGGGCUGGACUACUUAGUCUUAUGUAUUUUUCCUAUGCUUGACAAAGGCGGAGCUACCGCAGUCAAGCCAUCAGCCGUCACUAGUGAUGGCUGAGGGAUCCUCCAUGGACAUCCGCUCCUUGCAGACUAAGCGCCAGGAGCUGAAGAGGACCUUGCAGUAGAAAAUGGCGUUGGCCGCGAGGGACAUGUUCAGGUAAGUUAAAACUACCUUGCACUGGAAGCGAACUAGUCCUAAUCUGGGGUCUUUGCAAAAUGACAGAGCCACUUUAAUGUGAGUUUUCACACCAUAUUCAUUUGUCAUGGAGCAAGCCAUCUUCUACUGAAUCUGUACGGUAGUAUGUUUAAUACUCUACCUUUACUAGUUUUGCCAUGGGGGCACUAAUAUUAAAGGGAAACCAUAACCACAACAGCAUGCACAGCAAAACAUACACUUCUAAUCCUAGAUUAUAAACUUAGUUGAGCAGAGCCUUAUUCUCUUCUGUGUUCAUUAUGUGUUACCUUAAUUGUAUAAUUAUAAAGUGCUGUAGACAAUUAUGGCGUUAUAUAAAUACUAAUGUGCUACACUUGGCAACCCAUGCGAAUUUAUCGAUUUUAAACACCAGUACGUUCUGGUGUUACAAAGUUCCUGCCUUUUGAUCAGCACCUCUGUAUAGAUCUCUGCCAAUGCUAAAUAUUCUAUAUCAGAGUAGAUCUUUUAUGGGUUCAUAAUUGAAGAGACUCAACCAAAAAUAUAUUCACAUUUACAAUUUCAACUUUGUACUCAUUUAUCAUUUUGUGUUCUUUUCUCUUGCAGGGAUAAAUAGUAGUGAGCUUUUUCCUAUAACUUCCUGAAGAGGGCAGAACACAUUGAAAGGUAUAUGACACCACCUCCAUAUGCAAUCUUUCCUGAUCAUCAUCAUCAUUUAAUUAACAGAUUGAACUGGAGGCACUGUGUAUAUCUGAACAAAUAUCUAUCUCCAUAAUUUGUUUAGAGUAUGGGAGGUUCACCUCCAAAUGCUCAACCUUCUAAUGUAAAAACCACCUCCUGGUCCCAGAGCUCUGUUUUAAUUUCAUGAAGAUUGUAUAUGUGCUAUAUAUCCUAGGUUUGAGCUACAUGCCCCUAGAAUUGGUUUUCUGAUUCCUGAAUGAAGCUAUACACUGGCCGAGCUGUGCACUUGUGUGUUUGUUUGGGAUUUUUUUUUUUGUCAGGCCAUGCUGUGUUUAUAACGAAACGAGCACGGCUCUGCAAUAGAGUAAUCAUCAGUCACCUGAUCUUGUGAGAGCUCAUUAUAAGUCCAGAAACAUGUAAAAGCUUGAUGAUCUCAGCAAAAUGCAGCACUACUCCAAUUAGAUGGUUUUGCUGAAACUGGUCAAAACAGCAGAGUUUUACACUGACAUCGGUAGCUCCUCUAGUGACUUUCUGAGUGACAAACACUAGAGCAGGCAUAGGCAACCUAUUUUACCAUGGCGUAGCAAAGCACAGGAUAAAAACUAGAUUUAAGAAUAACUUGUCAUGUGAACGUAAAGGUGAAAUUAAAUUUAAUACUGGGCUAUGUAGGUGAAACUGAAGAGUUGCUUCUGCUGCUACUCAUCAUUUUCGAGUAGAUUGUAUAUUGAGCUAUUUAGAUGAACUUCCUGUUUUUAAUCUAGUUUGGCUCCCAAGUGUUUGGGGGAGAGUUCCUAAAUGCUCAGUAACUGUAUUAGUCGUUUAAAAGCUGUAAGAGCAUUAUAGGAUAAGUAGUCCAUAACAUUUGCAGUUCCAAAUGAUUCCUACCACUGUUCUAGACAAUUCUCAGUUAAGAACAUGGAUAUAUUUGACUUGUAGAAUAUUUGUUCACUGACAUUUUUUUUUUCUUCUAGUUUUCAAGUUUGCUGAAUAUCAGAUGGCUUGGCCAUGUAUGAUGCUUAGAGGUGAAGUAGCAGCACAUCAUGGUUUGUAGGAACAAGGAGAUACAGACCAUUCUGAGCUGCCUCUUCACCUCAGAGAUCAGACUAGAAGGACCUGCAUCAGCAGCUGUAACUUACCUGAUAUUCUUUGUGAUUUGUAUUGCAGUGUCUCACAUUUAUUUCUAAAAUCUAUUUUUUUUUUAUUUCACAAACAUAGAUUUAAAAAAAAAAAUAAAAAAAUUCAAUCCUUAAGAGGCAUCUCUUUCUGCAGAUGAUUACUAUAAAACGACGUGACAAGUGGGUACACAACAUUAAAUGUUGUGUAACAUGUAAUAGAGGCUCAGAAUGGUUUCAGAUGCCCUGAUCCUGCAAGCUUACAAUCUGAAAGAUGUCUAGUUCUAGAUACUGAUUUAAAUUAGAAAAGCGACUAUAGUGGGAGGAUUGUGUAAACAAAUUUCUCUUCCUCUUGACUUUCAAAAGCUUAUUAAAUGGUAAUUUACACCAACAUUUGUAGUAGCAGUGCUCUAGCAGCACGUAAAUACUGGAGUUUAGAAUUUUAUAGGAACUCUCCAGUAUUACUUUGCUGCUCUAGUAAUGUUGCCCCGUG